rnacentral:snRNA from 1 species
GUGCUCACUUCAGCAGCAUAUAUACUAAAAUUGGAAUGAUACAGAGAAGAUUAACAUGGCCCCUGCACAAGGAUGACAUGAUUAAAAAUUUU